rnacentral:rRNA from 1 species
UACGUAGGGUGCGAGCGUUGUCCGGAAUUAUUGGGCGUAAAGAGCUCGUAGGCGGCUUGUCGCGUCGGAUGUGAAAGCCCGGGGCUUAACUCCGGGUCUGCAUUCGAUACGGGCAGGCUAGAGUUCGGUAGGGGAGAUCGGAAUUCCUGGUGUAGCGGCGAAAUGCGCAGAUAUCAGGAGGAACACCGAUGGCGAAGGCAGGUCUCUGGGCCACUACUGACGCUGAGAAGCGAAAGCAUGGGGAGCGAACAGG